GGUAAGAUUGAGAAGUUGCCCUUCGGGCCUGACUGUGAUGGUUGGGUCGGGGGAGCGUCCGAUCCUUGAGAACUCAACAGCGUGCACUUGUCAAAUGCCAAAUAACCUCGACUCCACUUCGGUGGGGUGAGAUUCCUUUGGAUCAAAGACCACUUCCUUUGGGGAGUGGCAAUGGAUAGUCAGCAAUGAAUAUCUCUUUGGUCAGUUUCAAACUCGCUGCAUUCGCCGUUUUCCCGGUGUGUGUAUGCAUUUCUUUUUUACGGAGAGUUUGAUCCUGGCUCAGGAUGAACGCUGGCGGCGUGCUUAACACAUGCAAGUCGAACGGUGAAGCCCAGCUUGCUGGGUGGAUCAGUGGCGAACGGGUGAGUAACACGUGAGCAACCUGCCCCUGACUCUGGGAUAAGCGCUGGAAACGGCGUCUAAUACUGGAUACGAACCGGAACCGCAUGGUUACUGGUUGGAAAGAUUUUUUGGUUGGGGAUGGGCUCGCGGCCUAUCAGCUUGUUGGUGAGGUAAUGGCUCACCAAGGCGUCGACGGGUAGCCGGCCUGAGAGGGUGACCGGCCACACUGGGACUGAGACACGGCCCAGACUCCUACGGGAGGCAGCAGUGGGGAAUAUUGCACAAUGGGCGGAAGCCUGAUGCAGCAACGCCGCGUGAGGGAUGACGGCCUUCGGGUUGUAAACCUCUUUUAGCAGGGAAGAAGCGAAAGUGACGGUACCUGCAGAAAAAGCGCCGGCUAACUACGUGCCAGCAGCCGCGGUAAUACGUAGGGCGCAAGCGUUAUCCGGAAUUAUUGGGCGUAAAGAGCUCGUAGGCGGUUUGUCGCGUCUGCUGUGAAAUCCCGAGGCUCAACCUCGGGCCUGCAGUGGGUACGGGCAGACUAGAGUGCGGUAGGGGAGAUUGGAAUUCCUGGUGUAGCGGUGGAAUGCGCAGAUAUCAGGAGGAACACCGAUGGCGAAGGCAGAUCUCUGGGCCGUAACUGACGCUGAGGAGCGAAAGGGUGGGGAGCAAACAGGCUUAGAUACCCUGGUAGUCCACCCCGUAAACGUUGGGAACUAGUUGUGGGGUCCAUUCCACGGAUUCCGUGACGCAGCUAACGCAUUAAGUUCCCCGCCUGGGGAGUACGGCCGCAAGGCUAAAACUCAAAGGAAUUGACGGGGACCCGCACAAGCGGCGGAGCAUGCGGAUUAAUUCGAUGCAACGCGAAGAACCUUACCAAGGCUUGACAUAUACGAGAACGGGCCAGAAAUGGUCAACUCUUUGGACACUCGUAAACAGGUGGUGCAUGGUUGUCGUCAGCUCGUGUCGUGAGAUGUUGGGUUAAGUCCCGCAACGAGCGCAACCCUCGUUCUAUGUUGCCAGCACGUAAUGGUGGGAACUCAUGGGAUACUGCCGGGGUCAACUCGGAGGAAGGUGGGGAUGACGUCAAAUCAUCAUGCCCCUUAUGUCUUGGGCUUCACGCAUGCUACAAUGGCCGGUACAAAGGGCUGCAAUACCGUGAGGUGGAGCGAAUCCCAAAAAGCCGGUCCCAGUUCGGAUUGAGGUCUGCAACUCGACCUCAUGAAGUCGGAGUCGCUAGUAAUCGCAGAUCAGCAACGCUGCGGUGAAUACGUUCCCGGGUCUUGUACACACCGCCCGUCAAGUCAUGAAAGUCGGUAACACCUGAAGCCGGUGGCCUAACCCUUGUGGAGGGAGCCGUCGAAGGUGGGAUCGGUAAUUAGGACUAAGUCGUAACAAGGUAGCCGUACCGGAAGGUGCGGCUGGAUCACCUCCUUUCU
rnacentral:rRNA from 1 species